AUUGGUUGAAAAUUACCUGUGACUUUGGUCACAGGUGAGAUUCCUUGCCCCAGAGCCACCAGGGCCUCAGCUCACUGUUUGCUCCUCCUUGGCGGUUGGGGGGGUGGGGGGCGCACGGGGAAACCCAGGCUCUGACAUGC
ensembl:snoRNA